rnacentral:misc_RNA from 1 species
UACUCCAACACUGAAGAAAUUGAAAAACACCCUGAAAAUAAAUAAUAAAGGAGGAGCUAUCCAGAUACGAAAAUCCCAGGUAGCAUCAUCUGAAGAUGCAUAGAUUCUUGAAUAGUGAAAGUGAAUGCAUAUAUUCUUCUUGAAUAGUGAAAGAGGAUGUGUGUCUUUUCUUUUUGGUUCUGUCCUGUCCUGGAGUUUCUCUCAUAACCGUAG